GACGAACGCUGGCGGCGUGCUUGACACAUGCAAGUCGAACGGAAAGGCCCUGCUUUUGUGGGGUGCUCGAGUGGCGAACGGGUGAGUAACACGUGAGUAACCUGCCCUUGACUUUGGGAUAACUUCAGGAAACUGGGGCUAAUACCGGAUAGGAGCUCCUGCUGCAUGGUGGGGGUUGGAAAGUUUCGGCGGUUGGGGAUGGACUCGCGGCUUAUCAGCUUGUUGGUGGGGUAGUGGCUUACCAAGGCUUUGACGGGUAGCCGGCCUGAGAGGGUGACCGGCCACAUUGGGACUGAGAUACGGCCCAGACUCCUACGGGAGGCAGCAGUGGGGAAUAUUGCACAAUGGGCGGAAGCCUGAUGCAGCAACGCCGCGUGCGGGAUGACGGCCUUCGGGUUGUAAACCGCCUUCGCCUGUGACGAAGCGUGAGUGACGGUAAUGGGUAAAGAAGCACCGGCUAACUACGUG
rnacentral:rRNA from 1 species